UGGGGAAUAUUGCACAAUGGGCGCAAGCCUGAUGCAGCCAUGCCGCGUGUGUGAAGAAGGCCUUCGGGUUGUAAAGCACUUUCAGCGGGGAGGAAGGCGAUAAGGUUAAUAACCUCAUCGAUUGACGUUACCCGCAGAAGAAGCACCGGCUAACUCCGAGCCAGCAGCCGCGGUAAUACGGAGGGUGCAAGCGUUAAUCGGAAUUACUGGGCGUAAAGCGCACGCAGGCGGUCUGUCAAGUCGGAUGUGAAAUCCCCGGGCUCAACCUGGGAACUGCAUUCGAAACUGGCAGGCUAGAGUCUUGUAGCGGGGGAUAGAAUUCCAGGUGUAGCGGUGAAAUGCGUAGAGCUCUGGAGGACUACCGGUGGCGAAGGCGGCCCCCUGGACAAAGACUGACGCUCAGGUGCGAAAGCGUGGGGAGCAAACAGG
rnacentral:rRNA from 1 species